rnacentral:rRNA from 1 species
AACUAACGCUGGACGGCGUGCCUAACACAUGGCAAGUCGAACGAGAAAGUUGGCUUCGGCCGAUGAGUAAAGUGGCGCACGGGUGAGUAACGCGUGGAUAAUCUGCCCUUUAGUUUGGAAUAACGUACCGAAAGGUGCGCUAAUACCGGAUAAUACUGAAUGACUACUGUCGUUUAGUCAAAGAAGGCUUCUGUUUACAUGCUUUUGCUGAAGGAUGAGUCCGCGUACCAUUAGCUAGUUGGUAGGGUAAUGGCCUACCAAGGCGACGAUGGUUAGCUGGUCUGAGAGGAUGAUCAGCCACACUGGAACUGAGACACGGUCCAGACUCCUACGGGAGGCAGCAGUGAGGAAUAUUGCGCAAUGGGGGCAACCCUGACGCAGCAACGCCGCGUGAGUGAGGAAGGUUUUCGGACCGUAAAGCUCUGUCGAGCGGGAAGAAAUGCAUGGUGGCUAAUAUCCAUCAUGCUUGACGGUACCGCUAAAGGAGCACC